UGAGACUUUCGAAAGAGUAGUGCUGAGUACC
rnacentral:piRNA from 1 species